rnacentral:rRNA from 1 species
GUUAGCCUACGGGGCACAGCAGUGGGGAAUAUUGCACAAUGGGGGAAACCCUGAUGCAGCAACGCCGCGUGAGUGAUGACGGCCUUCGGGUUGUAAAGCUCUGUCUUCAGGGACGAUAAUGACGGUACCUGAGGAGGAAGCCACGGCUAACUACGUGCCAGCAGCCGCAGUAACACGUAGGUGGCGAGCGUUGUCCGGAUUUACUGGGCGUAAAGGGAGCGUAGGCGGACUUUUAAGUGAGAUGUGAAAUACUCGGGCUCAACUUGAGUGCUGCAUUUCAAACUGGAAGUCUGGAGUGCAGGAGG